rnacentral:tRNA from 1 species
GACUCCAUAGUGUAGUGAUUAGCAUCUGCUUUACACGCAGAAGGUUCUGGGUUCGUGACCCAGGUGGAGUCA